UUUGGCAGGAGGCUGAUAAAUAACAUAGAGAAUAAACAUUUUCAGUUCUUCUGAAGUUGUUCAAAAGCAAAAUGGCCAAAUUUGAAAGGGAUGUGUUAUAUAUGGAUAAUGAGAUGAUUGGCUCUCACAGUUAAGGGAUGAAUAAUAUAUGAAUAUUAAUAGAAGAUUUAAUAUGUAUAAUUAUGUUAUUGAACUCUGUUGUUUAGAUGUCCCAUGUUCUGCCGAUAGUCCCCUUCUCCCCCCUCUCUGUUGUUCCCAUCAGAGAGCCUGAGUCAUCUAGGACAGGGAGAAAGAAGGGGUGUACAAAAGCUUGUUGCUGGGGAGGGGGAGGUGCAGCAUGACAACACCUGACCCUCCAGCCAAGUUGCAAGAAGGCAGGCUCCACCAAUAAACACAAAGAAAGGCUGACAGACAGACUUUGGGAGGGGCCAGGUUUAGCUGAUGCAACACCUGGGGUAUCAAAGGUGAAGCAUCCCUCUUGAAGAUGAGGCAGCCACGUGGUAGGCAGCCAUGAGGGAAGCUCCCAGGCCUGCUUCUCCUUAUUUAGUCCUUUUGUUGCAGUUUUUGUUAAGGUUUAAUAAACCUUUAAAAAUUUAAAAAAGUGGGCGGUUGUUUCUCACAGGAUGUAAAGGCUGGCACACAGGAUGACAAACAUGGCAGGAACCCGUGCAGGAACAGAUAAGGAGGCCUGCAGUGAUUUUGGGAGUGAAGAGCAGAGGAGGAGCAGAGCCCUGAUCCCGUGCCAGGCUCUGAAGCAGCUGCCUGUGUGUGAGAGCCCUGGAGAACACGAGGCAGCAGGAGAACAGGGGCUGUGGCAGGAGCUGGGACAGAGCCCGCGCCGGACGCUGCUCGGGCUCACCCCACAGGCUGCGCUCCCCUUUCCCAAGGGACCAUUCCAGGGAACCUCCUGAAGAUCCCUGCCCAGGGACAGCAACUGGAGGGUGGGAGGUGAGGUGAGUGCAGUGCAGGGAAGUUCUCCAGGCUGCAAGAGGAAACAAGGUCAGACUCUUCUCUUCCACCAGAAUCAGGGCCCCCUCAUUGUGUGGAACCUGGUUAUGGAUUUUGGGGGCAGAAUUGAGGUCUGUAUGGAAUUCAAAGCUGGAAAUAUUGUGGGAAAAGGGAGGGAAUAUUGAAAUGGGUGUCCUGCUGAAGGAAUCCAGCAGCUCAGUGAUAUCAACUGACACCUGAGAGUCCAGCUCAGAUCCAUCCCAAAGCCAAUUGUUCUCUGAUAUCUUCAUGGGCAAUCCUCUCCUUCUCCAGUUGUGUUCCUGCUCCAGCUCUGUCCUGUCCACAGCCAUGAAGGAGGUAUCUCCCUGGCUUUUGUGCCAGGCACACCAGACCAGGCUCCCACAUCCUCCUUGCCAUCUGUCCUGUCCCUCACUCCUCCCAGUGCUGCUCCACAUGGAAGCUGUGGGUAGGAAAAGAUGGGAAAGCCAUGUUUGGGGGACAGCAGCGUUGCUCUGGUGUCUCUGUUUGUCACCCCUCCAGCUCUGUGAGGGGGGAGAAGCAGCAGAGGUGUCACCAUGGGCACUUUGUCCCCUUCCACGGAGGGAGCCAGCCCUGCCUGCUGGAGCCAGCCUUGUGGGAAGGCAUCCAAGGGGAGCUGGAAUGAGGAGAGCCACGACAACUGGAGCCAGUGUGCCAGCAGGCAGUGGAGCAAAGUGCCUGUCACGCUGCUGCUGCUGCUGUGCCUGUGUGGGAUGGUGGGAAUGGGGCUGUGCUCUGUCUCCUCAGCCAACAGCAGUGCCCUCCUUCUGAUUUACUUCCUGGCUGGGAGCUGUGCAAAGGAAUUCACCCCUCUGUAGGUGUUGCCUUCCAGAGGGCUUUUGAGGAUGUGCCAGAGCCAGGGAAUAAGGACAACACAGUGGAAUCAUUAUCAAGUGGAAUCAUCAUGUAAUAUAGGCAUCAUAAAAUACAGCCAUAAAAUAUCCAGAGUUAGAAGGGGCCCACAAGGAUCAUGGAGUUGUGUAGUUUUUACCCUCUGGAAUAGGCCCAGGUAAACCUGAGUGGGGAUGAAGAUGCAACACAUAAAAAUCAUGCAGCUGGCUGUUAAUCAAAGUUUACUAUGUUUUUAACUCUGUAAUAAAAAGAUGUAUUAGCAUGUUUUGAAUUGGAAGAUUCUAAAUGGAACACAACAUUGGCAGGAUAUGAGGAAUCAGUUAUGAUUUUAUGUUGUUCCUGUGAAAAUAACUGAAUGGUAUAUCAGAUAGCAGCCAAAUCUAAAAUCUGCACAGAGGCAGAGGCAUCCUUUAACAUUAAUACCCUUUUAUGCCAUUGGGCAGAGUCACCUCCAUGCCAAAUCACUGCAGCUUUGUUGGUUUUGCUGGAUGCAUCUGUGAAAACUGUCCGUUGACAGGGGUCAGUGCUGUAGUGACUCUUUCCAUACAGGGGGAGGUUACCCAUAUCUGUCCAUAAAUGAUGUGAGGGACAAUGGAUAGAUAAUUUUGCAAGCAUGAUUUGAAAAUUGGCAUCCUCUGGUGGUAGCCAUGCCAAAUUAUCUUUACUUGCAGGUAUGUAGAUGGUAUAUGGAUCCUGGCCGUUGAGAGUUUGUAGUCGCUCUCUACCGUUCUUAACUAAAUAUGCGAACAUAUCAUUAACAGUGCACACAGUCUUUGUUGCUGUGUAAGGUAAGCAUAACCAGUCUAACACAUGCAGAGGGUCUUUAUCAUUAACAAAACAUUGAAACAAAACAGCUGAAGGUUGAAAUUUAGUUAUAACUGCUAGCAGUUAUAGCAAGGUACACAGAUUUGUCAGGAUCCCAUCUCCAAUUCUGUCAGUUUUCUACUGCUUGAGCACAGUGUGCAAGGGCAGUUUUAGCUUCUGGGGUCAAUUGUCAAAGUGUGUACAGGUGGGGAUUUCUUCUGAAUAAGUCAAAUAAAGGGUGUAGGAGCUCUGUAGACAAACCCAAACCAGGACACAACCAAUUUAAGGAACCUAGCAGUUUCUGCAAUUCAUUUAAAGUUAGGGUGUCUUUAACACUGUCUUGGUUAAGGGCAAAUUUGGGAUAGAACUUCCAAAGGGCUCUUCUAGGAAAUCGGAUUUUAUCGCUCUUCUCUUAACCGGUCCGGGAGAAAAUACUUCUUUGGAGAAAAGUGGAAAAAACUGUUUAUUAAAUAAGAAAAUUUAAACAAUACUGAACAAUAAAAUUCUUUUCUACUCUGAAAGAGAUGACAAACCCAGAAAGUCUCCUCCCCAGAUUCCAGUUCAGCUCACUUAGUCUCUUAUCAGUCUUUCUGGUGCUGGAAAUGCCUUGGCCUAGGCCCGGCCUGCCCCACCAAUGCGAGCUGCUGGUGCUCUUAUGGUUGUUCAGUCCAGAGCAGGUGUGAACAGGUCUAAAGAAAGGGAUAAAAAGGAAAAAAAUCCUACAGUCUCGGGAACUUCUUUGCCUCAGCUAGCUAAACUAAAAGCAAAAAAAAAGAGAGCCCUGUCCCGCCGUCUGUUUAUCUGCAGACAACGCAGUUCAGGAGCAGGAAUGUGUAGGAGUGAGUUCAGUGUCUGAAAACAAACUGCACGCCUCCUCUUCCCCCUCAAUCUUUGGAGCAAGUCUUAAAGGUGCAAAACUUACUAUUCAGCAUAAAGGGAACAAGACGAUUAGGGAUAAAAGCAUCAUAUAGUCAGCCUAGGACAUUUUACUUUUUAUCUCCAUAUCGUCAGCUUACUACUAAAACUAAUAUAUAUAUUCUAACUCUAUAAACACAUACAUCAGACAUUCAAUAUACAGCUAUACACAGACAAUGGUAGUAACAUUUAGCAAACAGUGAUAUUUACACAUAGCUCUUACCUAACAAUGAUAUCUCUUUGAGGUACACAUCGUGUUCUUCUAUUUCUUUGCAUUAUGUACUAUGUGGAAUCUGGUCUCUGAGCAAAGACAACUCUACGAAUGGGUUUGUCUGUACUCCAGGCAGAAUUGAUCUAAACUGUCUUCUCCAACAAACUUCUGACAUGUACUACUGGGACUUUGUCUCUAUCUACUCUAUGCAAAGGCUCAGAUUGGGCAGGGCUUACUCAGUUAGUAGAGCUUCGGGUGUUAACUAGCCAGGUGGCUUUUGCUAGAUGCUGCUCUCAGUUUUUGAAAGAUCUCUUACUUAAUGCUUUCAAAGUGGUUUUUAACAGUCUAUUGUACUUUUCUACUUUGCCUGCAGCUGGUGCAUGGUAGGGGAUAUGGUACACUCACUCAAUGCUAUGUUCCCUAGCCCAGGUGUUGAUAAGGCUGUUCUUGAAAUGAGUUCUAUUAUUUGACUCAAUCUUCUCAGGGGUUCUAUGUUUCUACAGGACUUGCUUUUUAAGGCCCAGGAUGGUGUUACGGGCAGUAGCAUGAGAUACAGGGUAGGUUUUUAACUAUCUAGUGGUGGCUUCUACUAUGGUCAGCACACAGCGCUUGCCUUGGCGUGUCUGGGGCAGUGUGAUGUAGUUGAUCUGCUAGGGUUCUCUAUAUUUGUACUUGGACCACCGCCCACUAUACUACAGGGGCUUCACUCACUUGGCUUGCUUGAUGGCAGCACAUGUCUCAGAGUCAUGGAUAACUUGAGAAAUACUGUCUAUGGUUAGAUCUACUCUUCGGUCUCGUGCUCACUUAUAGGUGGCAUCUCUGCUUUGAUGACUUGGGGCAUCAUGGGCCCACCGAGCUAGGAAUAACUCUCUCUUGUGUUUUCAAUUUAGGUCUAUCUUUGACACUUCUAUUUUUGCAGUCCAGUCUACUUGCUCAUUGUUUUGGUGCUCUUCAUUAGCUCUGCUCUUGGGGACAUGGGUAUUUACAUGGCAGACUUUUACAGGUAGCUUCUCUACUUUGGUAGCGAUGUCUUUCUACUCAUCAGCAGCAUAAAUCGGUUUUCUUCUACGUUGCCAGUUAGCUUCUUUCUACUUCUCCAGCCAUUUUCACAGAGCAUUGGCUACUAUUUAUGAAUUAGUGUAAAGGUAGAGCUUUGGCUACUUCUCUCUCUCAGCAAUGUCUAAGGCUAGUUGAACGGGCUUGAGCUCUGCAAGUUGGCUUGAUCUACUUUCUCUUUCAGUAGCUUGAGCGACUUGUCGUGUGGGACUCUAUACGGCUGCUUUUUACUUUCGUUUUAUUCUCACAAUGCGACAAGAACUGUCAGUGAAAAGAGCGUAGCGCGUUUCUUCUGCUGGCAGUUCAUUGUAUGGUGGAGCUUCUUCAGCACGUGUCACUUCUUCUUUUUCUUCAUCAGCAAGACUAAAGUUUUCACUUUCUGGCUAGUUUGUAAUUAUUUCCAGAAUCUCAGGGCGAUUAGGUUUUCUAAUACGGGCACGCUGUGUGAUCAGAGCGAUCCGUUUGCUCCAUGUGGCACUGGUGGCAUGGUGCGCAGAGGGAACCUUUGCUUUGAACAUCUACUUCAGUACUGGUAGUCGGGGUGCCAGGAGGAGUUGUGCUUCAGUGCUUACUACUUCUGAAAUGGCUUGGACUCUUUCAUAGGUUGCUAAAAUUUCUUUCUCUGUUGGGGUAUAGUUGGCUUCAGACUCUCUGUAGCUUUGACUCUAAAAUCUAAGUGGUUGGCUUCGAGUCUCCCCAGGCACCUUCUGCCAAAGGCUCUAGGACAAGCCAUGGUUCCCGGCUGCAGAGUAGAGCAUUCUUCACCUCUGGUCCUGUCCUGACUGGGCUAAGGGCAACUGCAUGAGCGAUUUCUUGCUUGAUCUGGGUGAAGGCUUGUUGUUGCUCAGGGCCCCGGUGGAACUUGUUCUUCUUACGGGUGACCAGGUAGAGAGGGCUCAUGAUCUGACUGUACUCAGGAAUGUGCAUUCUCUAAAAGCCUAUGGCACUUAGGAAAGCUUGUGUUUCCUUCUUGCUGGAUGGUGGAGACAUUGUUGUGAUCUUGUUGAUGACAUCAGUGGGAAUUUGACGCCGUCUAUCUUGCCACUUCACUUCCAGAAACUGGAUCUCUUGAGCAGGUCUCUUGACUUUGCUCUUUUUGAUGGUGAAGCCGGCUUUCAGGAGAAUCUGGAUAAUUUCUUUUCUUUUCUCAAACUUCUGCUGCCAUUUUCUCUCAUACAAUGAUGCCAAACUGAGGCCUAACUGAAUUUAACAGAAGGAGGGCACCCAUUGGCUGGCUCAGCUGCAGUGCUGCUGACCCCCUGUCCUACCAUCCAAUCAGCUUCCUGCUUAUACGCUGUCCACAUGUUCCCCCAGCCAAUCACAAUCUCACUCCCAUCUGACCAUCCCGCACUCCUGACUGCCUCUCAGCCCUCAGGCGCCUCCCAUCCACCCAGCCUGCAGCUGUGCCUUUCCCUCAGGGUCUUCUGGUGAGCACAAGCAUUAAUACUUCAACAUGUAACCCCAUGUCCUACAGUCAGUUGUAUCACAUUAGAAUCCAACAAAAACCAUGAAUCCAAAUCUGGUUGAGGGGUGGUUACAGAAUGACAAAGAUCAGGACAGGCUGGGCUGUGGCUGAAGCUGCUGUGCAGAGUGGCUGUGCAGCUCCUCCUGAGGGUGGCCAGGUUCAGGAUGGAGGUGGUCAAGGGCUUCCUUGGGCACUGAUGCUGGGGAACCAGAGGAUGGAGGGGCCCAAUUCUGCAGAAGAGCAGCACAGCCCACUAAUCUCUGUGCAACUAAAUGUUCCAAGCAUCUGGUGAUGGGAAUUUCCAUAUUCCAUGUACUUUCUGGUACAGGCACAGAAGAUCAGUGGAGUUCACUAUCAACCCUCAACUUUACACACAAGGAUUCAAUUCCAGAAUUCAAGAAUGUGACAAAUUCCCACUGAAAGGAUAAGGGAAUGUUGCUGUCCCUCCCCACCUCUGCAGCCCCACCUGGUGUCCCUUCCCAUCAGCUGGGAAUGCAGGGCUGGCUCUGCUGGACAUAAAGGGAAGGAUGCUCCCUGUGAUCCCAACCCCUCUCCUGCCAUCCAGAGGCACCAGCCCCACAGGGAUUUGGGAAAUAUCCACCACUCCGUGUCAUGGGACAGGCAUGAGCUCCCUGAAAACACCAUGGAACUCAUCUGCUGAGCCAAAGGAGAUGGAGUUCAUUCCCUGGGGCUGAGGCCAUGAGGGUCAUUCCAUGGGGAAUAGAGCUGGGGAACAGCACUGAGCCCAGCUGCACAGCUUGGAGCUAUGUGGAUCCAGGAGGGAGGAGGAAAGCCAUGCUCCAGUGUACUCCCUGCAGAGCAUCCCACAAAAAUCAGCCAAGGCAAUGCCUCUGCUCCCUUCUCCUGCAGGAAUACAGCACCACAGAGAGGGUGAUCCUGUAGAUAUUGAUCAAUCAGGAGGCCCAAGGAAACCUUCAACGAGUUUCCUGGGUUCCUUCAGCAGAGUAGUGGAAGGGAUCAACAGGCUCAAACCCCCAUGUCCAUGGCAGGAUCACCACUGUCGGCAUUGUUUUCUUCGGGCUCUUCAAAAAUCCUCUGGAGGGAGAGCCGGAGAGACCGCAUGGAGCAGGGCCUCCUGCACCUCCCCACCAAGAAGUAGAUGAAGGGUUUGAUGGUGCUGUGGAUGCAGGUGAGCAGGAAAACAACCUGUGAGGACACAGUGAUGUAACUGAGCUGCUGCAGGAAAUUCCAGAGGCUAAGAAGGAGAGUGAGGAGCAAAAUGAUGAAGAGAACGAUGUCACGCCUCUUGGGUUGCUGCUGCUGGGAGCCGGGCUUGGCAUUAAUUAAAUCGAUUGUGCUGGAAAUGAGCAGGGGUGCAGCCAAGAAGAGCAGGAUGAGGGUGUACAUGGAAAUGAAAGCAGCCCGGCAGUGCUCCUGCUCGUGUGAUGGGCACAGGAAUGUCACUGAGGGAAUGACAGUGAAGAGAGCAAAGAAGGCCCAGUAUUGGGCACUGUCCAGCACCCACCACAGGUGCUCAGGGAGGUCGCAGCGGCAACAGAGGUUCCAGAUCUCACGCAUAAACAGUAUCUUGUUGCUGCGCAUCAGCCAGAGCAGGGCCCAGUAGUGGGAGACCACGGACAGCUGGAAAAGGAAGUUCAUGUACAUCAAGGGCAUGAUAAGAGAGCAAGACACAUCCUCCACCAGGAUAAGGAGGGCAGAGGGGACGGCAAAGAGGAGAAUGAGGAAGUCCAUGACAGCCAGGUCAAAGAUGCCAGCGUUCCCGCUUUUUUUCAGGCUGAGGAGGCAGAGCACAGCCCCGUUCCCAGCCAGCCCACAGAGGCAGAUGAGCAGUGUCACACUGUGUGUGGCCAUGGUGGUAACAUCUGUGUUACACAGAUCGUCUCCUUCAGUGGGUGAGGUGGCAGGUGGGGACACGGUGCUCAAUUCCAUGGAUGGACGCUGGGCAGGCAGUGGGAUGUGGCCCCUGGCUGUGGUCAGAGUGGAUGGGCCGUCAGUGCUUGGAGAAUCCAGGGAUAGACCAUGCGGCUCCUCAGCAGCUCCCUGCAGUGGGAAGGAUUCAGUGGGGAGAAGUGAGAUGUGCAGGGGAGGAGGGCAGUGGGAAUGGUGGAACAGGGAGGUGGGAGGGCUGGGCUGGUGUGCAGAGGAUUGAAAAAUAACAGAUUUUAAACUCUUGAAGUUGCUUAAAGACUUAAAGGGCAAAUGGAUAGAAGGAUGUAAAGAUGUUGACCCAGGGUGAUAAACAUGGCAGGAACCAGUGCAGACACAGAUUUGGAGGUCCGCAGUAUUUUUGUGUCAAAUUCUGUGACAAGAAGCAAGAGUGCAUGGCCAAAGGAAAAGUUCAAGGCAAGGUCACCUUUAAUAUCAUAGAACUCAGUGAAUACAACCAUCAGAAGCCCCUUUGAAUGAAACUCCAGGGCCAUCAAACGAUUCCCAGUAGGAAGUGGAUGCAUGGCAAUGGGUUCUAGGAAAAUGGUGUUUAUGUACUAAAGAAGAAAAACUUUUUAAUGUAUGGUUAUAAUGUUGUAUUCUACUGUUGUAAACAGAAUAAUACUGUUGUAAAGUCUCACAACACACAGAACAAUAAGGAGGGAUCCUUCUGCGAGUCCUGCUGCCUAAUACUUCCCUUGAUAACACCCUUAGUUGCUGUUGGGAACUUUAUUCUGUCUGAUUUUGGGAUCACUCCUCAUCCAUCCCAUCCCAUCCCAUCCCAUCCCAUCCCAUCCCAUCCCAUCCCAUCCCAUCCCAUCCCAUCCCAUCCCAUCCCAUCCCAUCCCGAUGGUUUCCCAGUCCCUGGCCACUCCCUGGCUGCAGGUGUGCCCUGUUGGGCUCUGCUGCAGUGCAGUGGGAGAUUUGGGAUUGGUGGCACCCAGAGCCCUCCUGCCCCCUCCAGCCCCUGUCUGCCUGGUGCCUUGGGCUGGCUCCCUAGAACAGAGGCCAGACAAGGUGAAGAGAAUAAAAGGAGGCAUUGAUGAAAGGCCUUCAAAAGGUUCACCCUGGCCACUCAAAGCCUCCGAGAGGGGCUACACCCAAAAUGGACAAUGGUCAUGAGUUUUUCAGUCAGAUGUAAGUUAGGUCCAUUUACAAAUCGGGUUAAUCCUCCACUUACAGCUUCAGGUAAUGCAGUCAUUUAGCCCCAGUCUGCCCUCCCCCAAUUCACUUCUGUCUGUACUUUUCUGGGCCUGAGGCAGUAGGGUGUCCUUGAAUUGCAGGCCUAGAGGGAUUGUUUUGUCUGACCAAAAUGUGAGGACAGUUAACUAACACUUUCCAUGGAGUUUAGAGUUAUGCACUAAUGCUGUACAGGAUAUGAAAAAUAGCAAGGCUAAAAUCCUAAGGCAACAUGUUCCCCUCUGACAUCCUCUAGAAAUGUCCCCCAGGCUGCCUUCCCCUCCAGACAUCCCUGCUCCUCUCCUGCCCCACUCAGGACCCGCAGCAGUGUUUCUGCUCCUCCUGGCAAUUCCAUGCUUCUCCAGCCCAAUGAACACCAGUGGAGCCA